rnacentral:rRNA from 1 species
UACGAGAGGACCGUGAUGGACAGACCUCCGGUUUACCAGUUGUUCCGCCAGGGGCACCGCUGGGUAUCCGAGUCUGGUUUGGAUAAGCGCUGAAAGCAUCUAAGUGCGAAGCCAUCCGCAAGAUUAGAACUCCUUUGAGGGUCGUUGUAGACGACGACGUUGAUAGGGUGUAGGUGUAAAGACAGUGAUGUCAAAGCCGAGCACUACUAAUUGCCCAAAGCUUUCA